UUAUUACUCUUAAUAAAGUUAGUUCAGACGAGCAGAGAAGUAGAUUUAUUCUUAAACCCAAAGGGCUCAGAAGCCACACUCUUCUAACCCAUUAGCAUUCUUUAAAAAUGUAGAACAUAGUCUCCGCAGCUUCAUCACCACGAGGACACAUCAAAGGGAGAUUCAUGCAAAAGGCGCCACAUGAAAACACAAAUUUUUGAAGGACCCUUCAAACUCUACACUUUAUUCCACUCCAUUAGGCAGACUCUAAAAGCAGAGGAAGAUUCUUGCAUUGAAAGCGCAAGGUAGUAGAAUCCGGGGAAGCAACACCACCACGAGCAGCACUGGAGACCACCGGCCAUGGAUGGUAGAAAGCCUACCCAAGAGGCCUCAAACACGCAGAAAACAACCCAGGAUCCACUAGUGCCAAGCUAGGCUCCAAAACAGGGAUAGAAGAACUUAAGGCCAUAGAGGUGUUGAACGACAGAGGAGAUUAGGAAAAGAAUCAAAAUUAGGAGAAAAUCAAAUCCACUGUAAUUGAAUUUGUUUAAUUCUAUUCUAUUUGAUUUAUCAAUUUGAAUUUCUUCUUAA